ACACAAUAACAUGACAUUCACACCGCAGUAAAUUUCUAUUACCAGAAAGAUUGAGACUUGAGCGAAAGAGAUGGGGAGCAAUUGCUCCAAAGGGAGGAGAGAAGAUGGGGACACAACCACUUUCUCCAAAAAUCAAAGUUUGUCUUGGAGAAGAAAAACGGGGUACACUGAAGGGAGGAUCGCAGAGGGCAACAGUCUCAUUGGUGGUGAAACACCCUGUCAACAAAGUCUUCCUAGCCUACAAUCUCCAUUCUCACCAGCAUACAAUCCCCAGUUUUCCCUCACAGCUGAGGGUGGAAGCAAUCUAUGUGCCCCAGUGAUCAGCAAUAAUGAAGUAGGAGGUAGCAUCAACAUCAC
ensembl:lncRNA